rnacentral:rRNA from 1 species
UACGAAGGGUGCAAGCGUUACUCGGAAUCACUGGGCGUAAAGGGUGCGUAGGCGGGUUUUUAAGUCAGAGGUGAAAUCCUGGAGCUCAACUCCAGAACUGCCUUUGAUACUGAAAGUCUUUGAGUAUGGGAGAGGUGAGUGGAACUGCGAGUGUAGAGGUGAAAAUUCGUAGAUAUUCGCAAGAACACCAGUGGCGAAGGCGGCUCACUGGCCCUAACUG